ACAUCGAAAGCUUGCUUUUGAUGGGCGUCGACCGGCGCUCGGGUGAGUAACGCGUAUCCAACCUGCCCACCACUUGGGGAUAACCUUGCGAAAGUAAGACUAAUACCCAAUGAUAUCUCUAGAAGACAUCUGAAAGAGAUUAAAGAUUUAUCGGUGAUGGAUGGGGAUGCGUCUGAUUAGCUUGUUGGCGGGGUAACGGCCCACCAAGGCAACGAUCAGUAGGGGUUCUGAGAGGAAGGUCCCCCACAUUGGAACUGAGACACGGUCCAAACUCCUACGGGAGGCAGCAGUGAGGAAUAUUGGUCAAUGGACGAGAGUCUGAACCAGCCAAGUAGCGUGCAGGAAGACGGCCCUAUGGGUUGUAAACUGCUUUUAUAAGGGAAUAAAGUGAGAGUCGUGACUCUUUUUGCAUGUACCUUAUGAAUAAGGACCGGCUAAUUCCGUGCCAGCAGCCGCGGUAAUACGGAAGGUCCGGGCGUUAUCCGGAUUUAUUGGGUUUAAAGGGAGCGUAGGCCGGAGAUUAAGCGUGUUGUGAAAUGUAGAUGCUCAACAUCUGAACUGCAGCGCGAACUGGUUUCCUUGAGUACGCACAAAGUGGGCGGAAUUCGUGGUGUAGCGGUGGAAUGCUUAGAUAUCACGAAGAACUCCGAUUGCGAAGGCAGCUCACUGGAGCGCAACUGACGCUGAAGCUCGAAAGUGCGGGUAUCGAACAGGAUUAGAUACCCUGGUAGUCCGCA
rnacentral:rRNA from 1 species